UGGGGAAUAUUGCACAAUGGGCGCAAGCCUGAUGCAGCCAUGCCGCGUGUGUGAAGAAGGCCUUCGGGUUGUAAAGCACUUUCAGCGGGGAGGAAGGCGAUAAGGUUAAUAACAUCAUCGAUUGACGUUACCCGCAGAAGAAGCACCGGCUAACUCCGUGCCAGCAGCCGCGGUAAUACGGAGGGUGCAAGCGUUAAUCGGAAUUACUGGGCGUAAAGCGCACGCAGGCGGUCUGUCAAGUCGGAUGUGAAAUCCCCGGGCUUAACCUGGGAACUGCAUUCGAAACUGGCAGGCUAGAGUCUUGUAGAGGGGGGUAGAAUUCCAGGUGUAGCGGUGAAAUGCGUAGAGAUCUGGAGGAAUACCGGUGGCGAAGGCGGCCCCCUGGACAAAGACUGACGCUCAGGUGCGAAAGCGUGGGGAGCAAACAGG
rnacentral:rRNA from 1 species